GUGGGGAAUUUUGGACAAUGGGCGCAAGCCUGAUCCAGCAAUGCCGCGUGCAGGAAGAAGGCCUUCGGGUUGUAAACUGCUUUUGUCAGGGAAGAAAUCUUCUGGGCUAAUACCCCGGGAGGAUGACGGUACCUGAAGAAUAAGCACCGGCUAACUACGUGCCAGCAGCCGCGGUAAUAAGUAGGGUGCGAGCGUUAAUCGGAAUUACUGGGCGUAAAGCGUGCGCAGGCGGCUUUGCAAGACAGAUGUGAAAUCCCCGGGCUCAACCUGGGAACUGCAUGUGUGACUGCAAGGCUAGAGUACGGCAGAGGGGGAUGGAAUUCCGCGUGUAGCAGUGAAAGGCGUAGAUAUGCGGAGGAACACCAAUGGCGAAGGCAAUCCCCUGGGCCUGUACUGACGCUCAUGCACGAAAGCGUGGGGAGCAAACAGGAUUAGAAACCCCAGUAGUCC
rnacentral:rRNA from 1 species